rnacentral:rRNA from 4 species
AGGGAUCAUUACCGAGUUUACAACUCCCAAACCCAAUGUGAACCAUACCAAACUGUUGCCUCGGCGGGGUCACGCCCCGGGUGCGUCGCAGCCCCGGAACCAGGCGCCCGCCGGAGGGACCAACCAAACUCUUUCUGUAGUCCCCUCGCGGACGUUAUUUCUUACAGCUCUGAGCAAAAAUUCAAAAUGAAUCAAAACUUUCAACAACGGAUCUCUUGGUUCUGGCAUCGAUGAAGAACGCAGCGAAAUGCGAUAAGUAAUGUGAAUUGCAGAAUUCAGUGAAUCAUCGAAUCUUUGAACGCACAUUGCGCCCGCCAGUAUUCUGGCGGGCAUGCCUGUCCGAGCGUCAUUUCAACCCUCGAACCCCUCCGGGGGGUCGGCGUUGGGGAUCGGGAACCCCUAAGACGGGAUCCCGGCCCCGAAAUACAGUGGCGGUCUCGCCGCAGCCUCUCCUGCGCAGUAGUUUGCACAACUCGCACCGGGAGCGCGGCGCGUCCACGUCCGUAAAACACCCAACUUCUGAAAUGUUGACCUCGGAUCAGGUAGGAAUACCCGCUGAACUUAA